ACGCCGCAAACAAUCAUUUUACUUAAAAAAUGGCGUCUUUUUAUUACCAAAUUCCCUCUCCUUUUGAAACCCUAAAAUUUCCCCCUAAAAUUGGUAUCCUCAAAACUCCCUUUUCACACACGUCGUUUUCAUCGGUUUACCUUGGAACCCAUACGAUCCCUUCCCCUUUCCCUUUCCCUUUCCCUUUCCCUUUCCCUUUGGUUUUGAAAAAACCCAAUUCUUAUAUUCAUUAUUCUGUUCUUAAUUUCGGUUUUGAUUUUUCUAUGUUCUUUCUUCAAUACAUUAUAGAAGCAUUUGGUCGUCUCGUCUACUUGUCUCUCCAAACUAUUGUUGGUAACUUGGUAUGGAGAGUGGAGACUGGAGAAUCGGAGAUGGCUCUUUAGGUCUUGGACUAAGGUGAAUGGCCAUGCUUUAAACAUGCUUUAACAGUUUCACUCACACUCAAAACCGCUCUCUUGAUUUUUUAGACUCUCUGAGGGCACCUCAAGUGUAUUUUGUUGGUGACAAUGUUAAGAACCUUAAACCAGUACUGGCAAAGGGUGCAAAGCUGAAGUGCAGCAGAUGUGGACUAAAGGGUGUUGCACUUGGCUGUUAGGGAAGAGUCUGCCUGGCAUUUGCUGAUGAGGGGACCAAAUGCAGCAAUUAAUCACAGGGGAUAACUUGUUUAGCAUAGUAAAAAAUAUGGUAAUCGAAGUUUUGGAUCCUUAUUUAGGAAGGCUACAGAACCAAAAGCUCACAAAUCCUGUUAGUAUUCAUGGAGAUCCUGAGUCUAGCAGAUGAGCUGAGAUUUGCAACAACA